rnacentral:sRNA from 1 species
CACUAGCCCCGAUAGAAGCGGCAUCCUUUUUUUGCAAGGGAAAAGCCGUAGCAAAAAAGAUACAGCGGAUAGCGGGAUAAAGC